rnacentral:rRNA from 1 species
ACUCCUACGGGAGGCAGCAGUAGGGAAUCUUCCACAAUGGGCGCAAGCCUGAUGGAGCAACACCGCGUGAGUGAAGAAGGGUUUCGGCUCGUAAAGCUCUGUUGUUAAAGAAGAACACGUAUGGGAGUAACUGUUCAUACGUUGACGGUAUUUAACCAGAAAGUCACGGCUAACUACGUGCCAGCAGCCGCGGUAAUACGUAGGUGGCAAGCGUUAUCCGGAUUUAUUGGGGCGUAAAGAGAGUGCAGGCGGUUUUCUAAGUCUGAUGUGAAAGCCUUCGGCUUAACCGGAGAAGUGCAUCGGAAACUGGAUAACUUGAGUGCAGAAGAGGGUAGUGGAACUCCAUGUGUAGCGGUGGAAUGCGUAGAUAUAUGGAAGAACACCAGUGGCGAAGGCGGCUACCUGGUCUGCAACUGACGCUGAGACUCGAAAGCAUGGGUAGCGAACAGGAUUAGAUACCCUGGUAGGAUAGCG